CUUUUAUGGGGUGACUGCGUACCUUUUGUAUAAUGGGUCAGCGACUUAUAUUCUGUAGCAAGGUUAACCGAAUAGGGGAGCCGGAGGGAAACCGAGUCUUAAUUGGGCGUUAAGUUGCAGGGUAUAGACCCGAAACCCGGUGAUCUAGCCAUGGGCAGGUUGAAGGUUGGGUAACACUAACUGGAGGACCGAACCGACUAAUGUUGAAAAAUUAGCGGAUGACCUGUGGCUGGGGGUGAAAGGCCAAUCAAACCGGGAGAUAGCUGGUUCUCCCCGAAAGCUAUUUAGGUAGCGCCUCGUGAAUUCAUCUCCGGGGGUAGAGCACUGUUUCGGCUAGGGGGCCAUCCCGGCUUACCAACCCGAUGCAAACUGCGAAUACCGGAGAAUGUUAUCACGGGAGACACACGGCGGGUGCUAACGUCCGUCGUGAAGAGGGAAACAACCCAGACCGCCAGCUAAGGUCCCAAAGUCAUGGUUAAGUGGGAAACGAUGUGGGAAGGCCCAGACAGCCAGGAUGUUGGCUUAGAAGCAGCCAUCAUUUAAAGAAAGCGUAAUAGCUCACUGGUCGAGUCGGCCUGCGCGGAAGAUGUAACGGGGCUAAACCAUGCACCGAAGCUGCGGCAGCGACGCUUAUGCGUUGUUGGGUAGGGGAGCGUUCUGUAAGCCUG
rnacentral:rRNA from 1 species